rnacentral:rRNA from 2 species
UCAAGCUAGAAAGAGCGCAAGGCGGAUGCCUUGGCACCAGGAGCCGAUGAAGGACGCGACAAGCUGCGAUAAGCUACGGUUAGGCGCAAAUAGCCUGUGACCCGUAGAUUUCCGAAUGGGGAAACCCACCUGAGGUAAGUACUCAGGUACCCUAUGGUGAAUUCAUAGCCAUAGGGGGGGAUACGUGGGGAACUGAAACAUCUAAGUACCCACAGGAGAAGAAAUCAACCGAGAUUCCGCAAGUAGUGGUGAGCGAACGCGGAGGAGGCCAAACCAAUAGACUUCGGUCUAUUGGGGUUGCGGACCAGCAUAAUGAUUCUCAAGGUUUAGCGGAAUGAGCGGAUGGAAAACCGAGACCAUAGAGGGUAAAAGUCCCGUACGCGAAAGACUGAGAGACAGGCUGGAAUCCAGAGUACCACGAGACACGGGAAAUCUUGUGGGAAGCCGGGAGGACCACCUUCCAAGCCUAAAUACUCCCUGGUGACCGAUAGUGUAGCAGUACCGUGAGGGAAAGGUGAAAAGAACCCCGGGAGGGGAGUGAAAUAGAACCUGAAACCUUGUGCUUACAAGCAGUCGAAGGGCGUUAAAGCCUGACGGCGUACUUUUUGUAGAACGGUCCGGCGAGUUAUUGUAUAUGGCGAGGUUAAGUACUUAAGGUACGGAGCCGCAGCGAAAGCGAGUCUGAAUAGGGCGAAUGAGUCAUAUGCAAUAGACCCGAAACCGGGUGACCUAUCCAUGGACAGGCUGAAGUUGGAGUAAAAUCCAAUGGAGGGCCGAACCCACUGCUGUUGAAAAAGUAGGGGAUGAGCUGUGGAUAGGGGAGAAAUUCCAAUCGAACUCGGAGAUAGCUGGUUCUCCUCGAAAUAGCUUUAGGGCUAGCCUCAGAUUAGUCUAACGGAGGUAAAGCACUGAAUGGGCUAGGGGCCUUACCAGGUUACCGAACCCUAUCAAACUCUGAAUGCCGUAUAGAUGAUGUCUGGGAGUCAGACUAUGUGAGAUAAGUUUCAUAGUCAAAAGGGAAACAGCCCAGACCGCCGACUAAGGUCCCCAAGUCAUGGUUAAGUGGGAAAGGAUGUGGGUUUGCUAAGACAACUAGGAUGUUGGCUUAGAAGCAGCCACUCAUUCAAAGAGUGCGUAACAGCUCACUAGUCGAGUGAGCCUGCGCCGAAAAUUUAACGGGGCUAAACCAUGCACCGAAGUCGCGGAUGUGAGUGGAUUUUAUUGAUGGUACAUUUAGGUUAAGCCAUAACAGUAAUGAAAGGCAAUGUGCCACGAAUAAAAUCCACUCACGUGGUAGAGGAGCUUAAUAUACGGGCUGAAGCACGAUCGAGAGGACGUGUGGACUGUAUAUUAGUGAGAAUGCCGGAAUGAGUAGCGAGAGUGAAGUGAGAAUCUUUACCGCCGAAAAUCUAAGGUUUCCUGGGGAAGGCUCGUCCGCCCAGGGUAAGUCGGGGCCUAAGCUGAGGCCGAAAGGCGUAGGCGAUGGACAACUGGUUGAAAUUCCAGUACCACCGAUGCUUGUUUGAGAGAUGCGGGGACGCAGGGGGAUAGGUCGUGCCGGCUGCUGGAAUAGUCGGUCCAAGCGAGGUAGAUAGUCCUGUAGUGAAGUACGCAGGAUGUUUCGAAGUCGUGAUGGGGAGGGAAAAUAGAGUACCGAAGUGACUGAUUCCGCACUGACGAGAAAAGCCGCUAUUGAGAGCAUAGGUGCCCGUACCGCAAACCGACACAGGUAGAUGGGGAGAGAAUCCUAAGGCGAUCGGAAGAAGGGUUGUUAAGGAACUCGGCAAAUUGAUCCCGUAAGUUCGCAAGAAGGGAUGCCCGAGCCUGGGAAUGGUUUACUGUUUCUGGGGGAGGGCCGCAGAGAAAUGGCCCAGGCAACUGUUUAUCAAAAACACAGGUCUCUGCUAAAUCGAAAGAUGACGUAUAGGGGCUGACGCCUGCCCGGUGCUGGAAGGUUACGGGGAUCUGUUAGCGGUAACGCGAAGCAGUGAACUUAAGCCCCAGUAAACGGCGGCCGUAACUAUAACGGUCCUAAGGUAGCGAAAUUCCUUGUCAGGUAAGUUCUGACCCGCACGAAUGGCGUAAUGACCUGGGCGCUGUCUCGACAACCCAUCCGGUGAAAUUGAUGUACCGGUGAAGAAGCCGGUUACCCGCGACUAGACGGAAAGACCCCAUGGAGCUUUACUGUAGCCUGAUACUGUGUUUCGGUAUUUCAUGUACAGGAUAGGAGGGAGGCUUAGAAGCGAGGACGCCAGUUCUCGUGGAGCCAACGUUGGGAUACCUCUCUUGGAGUGCUGGAACACUAACCAGGAUCCGUGAUCCGGAUCUGGGACAAUGUCAGGUGGGCAGUUUGACUGGGGCGGUCGCCUCCCAAAAGGUAACGGAGGCGCCCAAAGGUCUCCUCAGCACGGUUGGAAAUCGUGCAUUGAGUGUAAAGGCAUAAGGAGGCCUGACUGCGAGACAGACAAGUCGAGCAGAUACGAAAGUAGGGCUUAGUGAUCCGGCGGUAUGAGAGUGGAAUUGCCGUCGCUUAACGGAUAAAAGCUACCCUGGGGAUAACAGGCUGAUCUCCCCCAAGAGUCCACAUCGACGGGGAGGUUUGGCACCUCGAUGUCGGCUCAUCGCAUCCUGGAGCUGUAGCAGGUUCCAAGGGUUUGGCUGUUCGCCAAUUAAAGCGGUACGCGAGCUGGGUUCAGAACGUCGUGAGACAGUUCGGUCCCUAUCUGUCGUGGGCGUAGGAUAUUUGAAGGGAGCUGUCCCUAGUACGAGAGGACCGGGAUGGACGCACCUCUGGUGCACCAGUUGUCACACCAGUGGCACAGCUGGGUAGCCAAGUGCGGAGUAGAUAAACGCUGAAAGCAUCUAAGCGUGAAGCUCACCCUAAGAUGAGAUAUCCCACCAGCAAUGGUUAAGACCCCAUGUAGACUACGUGGUUGAUAGGUCGGAGGUGUAAGCGUGGCAACACGUUGAGCUGACCGAUACUAAUAGGUCGAGGGCUUGACCAA